GGAAUUUAAUUUUGUUGUCAGAGUAGUAAUAGUUAAGAUCUUGAAACUCAAAAAAUUUGGCGGUACUUUAGUCUAUUUAGAGGAACCUGUAAUUUAAUCGAUAAUCCACGUUGGACCUAACUUAGUUUUGUAAUUUUUCAAUUUGUAUACCGCCGUUUUUGAAAAUUUUAUAAGGAAAAUAAUUUUCAAAAUUUUUUAUAGGAGAAGAAGUCAGGUCAAGGUGCAGUUAAUAAUUAAGUUUUAUAUGGGUUACAAUAAAUUUAUUUAAGCGGAGUAUGAAAUGAAAUUUUUGUAUGAAGAUGGAUUUAAAAGUAAAUUUUUAUAGAUAAAAAUAUUGAUU
rnacentral:rRNA from 1 species